ACCAUUUCUUCUCUCCUCAGCAUCGCCGACACACACAAACCCUAGAAAUUCGAAGACUCCGCGAUCUUCAGCUCCGGCGACUGAAUCGCCGCCAUCAACAGACGUAAACUGCGACAUCAGACCACAACGGACUGAAUCGCGAUGUCUCCUUGCCAAAACUGCGUCGUCUCACCACAAACUCUAAAGCUUCUACCCUACUCCGCCGAUUUUUAGCGGCGACAACCAAAGCGCCGACAUCGCCGGCACAAAACCUAGCCAGCAUAGUCUUAUCCACGCUGCCUGCGCAAACUCUUGCCGACACAGGCUUAUCCACGUCCAACAGAAGCUAUUCAAUUUAACCGACGACAGUAUAGAAUCGCAAACCCCAGCCCCAAUUCAAGGCGUUCAGAAGUUAUUCGGUUAGAUCGAAGACGGUUUUGAUUUAAGGGAAUCAUCUUAAUGAACAUAAAAAGAACAAAGAUUGCAUACAAACUAAAAUAUGAGGGACAAACUGUGCAAAAAUGACAUGUGAUAUGCAUUCAUGCAAAACGUUUGAGAAGAAAAUUUAACAAACAUAGAACGGAAAACAUCCACUACAGAGGAUCAAGAGUGUGUUUCAAAACGCAUAAUACAAUAAGCUUUGAAAGGAAGCCACUAAAAAUCAUGAAAUGAAGAAGAUUUAUUCGAAGCAGAUGAAAAGAGAACAAAUUUGGGAAGAAAGAAAUGUGGAGAGAAAAAAGAAAAAGAUGAGAUGGCAAGUAUGAGAGGCAACAAAGCCUACUCCUACUGAUUCUGAACUCAGUUUUUAAAAAGAGGUAUUUAUUGCAUUGGAAUCUGGAGUAAAUAUGUAUCUCAAUCCCUUUUCAAAAAUGAAUAUAUAGUUUAUCUGAUA